rnacentral:tRNA from 1 species
GGCGGAAUGGUAUACGCGCAUCACUUAAAAUGAUGUGCCCGAAAGGGCAUGUGGGUCCGAAUCCCACUCUCGGCA